rnacentral:rRNA from 1 species
CGGAGAGGGAGCCUGAGAAACGGCUACCACAUCCAAGGAAGGCAGCAGGCGCGCAAAUUGCCCAAUCCUGACGCAGGGAGGCAGUGACAAAAAAUAACAAUACCGAGGAGUUUACCUCUUUGGUAAUUGGAAUGAGUACAAUUUAAAUCCCUUAACGAGGAUCUAUUGGAGGGCAAGUCGGGUGCCAGCAGCCGCGGUAAUUCCUGCUCCAAGAGUUUAUAUAUGUGUUGCUGCAGUUGAAAAGCUCGUAGUUGGGAGUUGAAUAGUUUGGUGGGUGGUUAGGGUUUGGGAUUCUGUCCCUGCCUGUUAAAUUCACACUUGUGUGUUGCCACCUCCACAUCUACUUUUUUUGUUCAUGUAAGGGUGAGUUUCCUCACCUCUACAUUUGAACGUGUUACUUUGAGUAAAUCUGAGUGUUCAAAGCAGACGGAAAAUAUCCCGUCUUGAAAGUUGUAGCAUGGAAUAACGUGAUAGGACUCCGGUGGCCCUUUUCAGUUGGUCUAAGCCGUUCCGGAGUAAUGACUAAGAGGGACAGUCGGGGGCACUCGUACUUCCUUGUCAGAGGUGAAAUUCUUGGAUUUAGGAAAGACGAACCACUGCGAAAGCAUUUGCCAAGGAUGUUUUCAUUAAUCAAGAACGAAAGUUGGGGGCUCGAAGAUGAUCAGAGACCGUUGUAGUCCUAUUGACUGUAAACGAUGCCGACUGGGGAUCUGGGGUGAGAAUAUUUUGGCGUAUGGGAGUGGGAGGGGGUUCAACUCUUCCACCCCAAUCGCCCUCCCAGGCACCCUCCGAGAAAUCAAAGUGUAUGGGUUCCGGGGGGAGUAUGGUCGCAAGGCUUAAACUUGAAGGAAUUGACGGAAGGGCACCACC